rnacentral:rRNA from 1 species
GAUGAACGCUGGCGGCGUGCCUAAUACAUGCAAGUCGAGCGAACAGAUGCGGAGCUUGCCCCUCUCACGUUAGCGGCGGACGGGUGAGUAACACGUGUAUCCCCUCCCUAUCAGUCUGGGAUCACUACGGGACUCCGGCGCUAAUACCGGAUAAUAUCUUGAACCGCAUGGUUCAAUAGUGAAAGACGGUUUUGCUGUCACUUAUAGAUGGAUCCGCGCGGCAUUAGCUAGUUGUUAAGUUAAAGGCUUAUCAAGGCAACGAUGCGUAGCCGACCUGAGAGGGUGAUCGCCCACACUGGAGCUGAGACACGGUCCAGGCUCCUGCGGGAGGCAGCAGAAGGGAAUCUGCCGCAAUGGGCGGAAGCCUGACGGAACAACGCCGCGUGAGUGAUGAAGGUGUUCGGAUCGUAAAACUCUGUUAUUAGGGAAGAACAAAUGUGUAAGGAACUAUGCACGUCUUGACGGUACCGGAUCAGAAAGCCACGGCUAACUACGUG